rnacentral:rRNA from 1 species
UACGUAGGUGGCAAGCGUUGUCCGGAAUUACUAGGGUGUAAACGCGUGUAGGCGGGAGGCCAAGUCUGACUGUGAAAUCGCCCGGCCUCAACUGGGCGGGGUCGGUGGAAACUGGUCACCUGGAGGACGGUAGAGGCGAGUUGGAAUUCCCGGUGUAGUGGUGAAAUGCGUAGAGAUCGGGAGGAACACCAGUGGCGAAGGCGGCUCGCUGGGCCGGCCCUGACGCU